UCCAGGCAGAUGAUCUUUGUGUUACUGGAUCUCUACACCACCAGCUGGGACUGAAAAAAGAGAUGGCAUGGCUUUUCUCUGGGAACAGGGGGUGUGUGUGCACACCAAAAAGCACCAAGGGGGAACCGGAGCCUUGGCGGAUCCAGGAGGGUGCCCAGAGCAGCUCUGCAAGCAAAGUUACUGCCUUCACUCCUCUGUCAUCACCAGUCCCUGAGAGCAAUCACCACCCACCAACAGUUCCUUGAGAUAAGCCCGAGCCAGCUGGGAGAAGAAAGCCUUUGAUAUUCCCCUGCCUUGCUGACUGCGUUUCUCACAGCUCACUCUCGGAAUGGACCAGCAGAGGUGACUGGGCAUGAAAGAAUAACACUGAUGGAAGGUGUGCGUGGAAGGUGCUAAUCUUUUGCCAUGUGUAUGGGUAUGUAAUCACUUAGCAGAUAAUCUCAGAUUCUGAAAAGGCAGCCAUUCAUUUUAAAACAAA